UACGGAGGGGGCGAGCGUUGUUCGGAGUGACUGGGCGUAAAGAGCACGUAGGCGGUGUUGUAAGUCAUUAGUCAAAGACUAGAGCUCAACUUUAGUAAGGCUAGUGAUACUAUAAUACUAGAGUAUCAGAGAGGAUUGCAGAAUUCCUGGUGUAGCGGUGAAAUGCGUAGAUAUCAGGAGGAAUACCGUUAGCGAAGGCGGCAAUCUGGCUGGAAACUG
rnacentral:rRNA from 1 species